AUCAUACUCGCUCCGUCCCGAAUUAUUUGUCUUAGAUUUGCCUAUAUACGGGCACAUAUCUAGACACGUUUUAGUGUUAGGUACAUCCGUAUAUAGACAAAUCAGAGACAAGUAAUUUGGGACGGAGGUAAUUA
rnacentral:pre_miRNA from 1 species